rnacentral:rRNA from 1 species
GCAGGCGCGAAAACUUUACAAUGCGGGAAACCGUGAUAAGGGAACACCGAGUGCCAGCAUCAUAUGCUGGCUGUCCAGAUGUGUAAACUACAUCUGUUAGCAAGGGCCGGGCAAGACCGGUGCCAGCCGCCGCGGUAACACCGGCGGCCCGAGUGGUGACCGUUAUUAUUGGGUCUAAAGGGUCCGUAGCCGGUUUGGUCAGUCCUCCGGGAAAUCUGAUAGCUUAACUGUUAGGCUUUCGGGGGAUACUGCCAGGCUUGGAACCGGGAGAGGUAAGAGGUACUACAGGGGUAGGAGUGAAAUCUUGUAAUCCCUGUGAGACCACCUGUGGCGAAGGCGUCUUACCAGAACGGGUUCGACGGUGAGGGACGAAAGCUGGGGGCACGAACCGGAUUAGAUACCCGGGUAGUCCCAGCCGUAAACUAUGCUCGCUAGGUGUCAGGCAUGGCGCGACCGUGUCUGGUGCCGCAGGGAAGCCGUGAAGCGAGCCACCUGGGAAGUACGGCCGCAAGGCUGAAACUUAAAGGAAUUGGCGGGGGAGCACAGCAACGGGUGGAGCCUGCGGUUUAAUUGGACUCAACGCCGGACAACUCACCGGGAACGAC